AGCAGCAGCCGCGGUAAUACGGAGGGUGCAAGCGUUAAUCGGAAUUACUGGGCGUAAAGCGCACGCAGGCGGUCUGACAAGUCAGAUGUGAAAUCCCCGGGCUUAACCUGGGAACUGCAUUUGAAACUGUCAGACUGGAGUCUUGUAGAGGGGGGUAGAAUUCCAGGUGUAGCGGUGAAAUGCGUAGAGAUCUGGAGGAAUACCGGUGGCGAAGGCGGCCCCCUGGACAAAGACUGACGCUCAGGUGCGAAAGCGUGGGGAGCAAACAGGAUUAGAUACCCCUGUAGUCCCUGUCUCUUAUAC
rnacentral:rRNA from 1 species